rnacentral:rRNA from 1 species
GCUAUCAUGCAAGUCGAGCGAAUGGAUUAAGAGCUUGCUCUUAUGAAGUUAGCGGCGGACGGGUGAGUAACACGUGGGUAACCUGCCCAUAAGACUGGGAUAACUCCGGGAAACCGGGGCUAAUACCGGAUAACAUUUUGAACCGCAUGGUUCAAAAUUGAAAGGCGGCUUCCGCUGUCACUUAUGGAUGGACCCGCGUCGCAUUAUCUAGUUGGAGAGGUAACGGCUCACCAGGGCAACUAUGCGUACCCGACCUGAGAGGGUGAUCGGCCACUCUGGGACUGACACACGGCCCACACUCCUACGGGAGGCAGCAGUGGGGAAUCUUCCGCAGUGGAAAAAAGUCUGACAGAACAACCCCGCGUGAGUGAUGAAGGUUUUCGGGUCGUAAAACUCUGUUGUUAGGGAAGAACAAGUGCUAGUUGAAUAAGGUGGCACCUUGACGGUACCUAACCAAAAAGCCACGGCUAACUACGUGCCAACACCCGCGGUAAUACAUAUGUGGCAAGCGUUAUCCAGAAUUAUUGGGCGUAAAGCGCGCGCAGGUGGUUUCUUAAGUCUGAUGUGAAAGCCCACGGCUCAACCGGGGAGGGUCAUUGGAAACUGGGACACUUGAGUGCAAAAGAAGAAAGUGGAAUUCCAUGUGUAGCGGUGAAAUGCAUAGAGAUGUGGAAGAACACCAGUGGCGAGCGAGACUCUCUGGUCUGUAACUGACACUGAAGCGCGAAAGCGUGGAGAGCACACAAGAUUAUAUACUGUGAUAGUCCACGCCAUACACUAUGAGUGCUAAGUGUUAGAGGGUCUCCGCCCUUUAGUGCUGAAUAUCACGCAUUAAGCACUCCGCCUGGGAGAGUACGGUCGCGAGGCUGACACUCAAAGAGAAUUGACGGGCGCCCGCACAAGCUGGUGGAGCAUGUGGUUAUAAUCUCAAAGCACGCGAGACUCUAUCACCGUGUCGUGAUCUCCUCUGACACUCUAGAUAUAGCGAUCUUCUCCUUCGGGAGCAGAGUGACAGUGGUGCAUGGUUGUCGUCAUCUCGUGUCGUGAGAUGUGGUUAAGUCCCGCACGAGCACCUUGACCUUAUUGCCCAUCUUUCAUUGGCACUUAGGUACUGCGGUGACAUCCGG